UCAUUUUUAUAUGUUACAAAGUUUUUCACUUACAUUCAGUAAACAAUGUGCAAGAUAUAUUACAAUUUCACGAAUUAAAUAAAUCAAGAAAUGUAGGUUUUGUGGACCUUUAGUCGUGGCCAUUGUAAAAUCACUUGAACGAGCUGGUAGAUCUCAGAAAGAUAGCAGGAAUGAGUGCUGAGAUCUAAGAAAACAGUGAAAUUCUCUUGAUACGUGCUACCACCCAUAGGUAUUGUACAAAUUUAUGAAUCAGGUACUUUAUUAUUUUAUAUAUGGUAUGAACAUAUAGCGAGUAUAUACUAUAUUGAUGUCCUGACGUUUCUUUUAAGUGUCCAACCCUUGGUUUAGGUUUAGUGGAUUUUAGUGGAGUGUAACAUUUUAGGGUUCUUUUGCCACAAACAUAUAUUAUUAUCUUUCUAAUGAUUCUUUUAUUUCUUACUUCAGACUUAACUGAAGAAUUGAAUUUGGUGAGGUUGUGUGGAUAAGAAAAACGGAACUUGGGCUACUGUGGCCUCAUCACUCUCAUCUUUACAAGUGAAAAAAAGCCCAUUGAGGAAUGGACAGUAAAGCCACGAGAUCGCCAAGAUGCUGCCACACCAAAUUCAACACCGAAGAAAAAUACAAACGAAAGAAUCAUCGUCGAGUGAAGAAAAAGGGGUGAAUACAGUAUCGGCAGUUCCAGAUGAAACCGUUAUUCCUAAACUGGUGUAAAACUAGAUACCCAAAGCGAGGAGAAAGAGGAAUAUAGUCGUUGACAAAACCUGGACGACGCCAGGUCAACCACGGCAUCACGCAAGGUGAAGAAGACCUCCAGGUAAAAUACUUAAACUUUAUUCGGGUUGCUAUUUUUUUGACAAGCAAUGACGCAGUGUUAUUGUGUGUGUUGACUUUGCUUGAAUUCGGAAUUCAGAGACCAAGUGUGAUGCUGUUUAAGCACGCACUAUGUAUUUGAAAUUAGAACUAAACCUUAUUGAAAUGGAUAAUUGUCUUAUACUGUUGUUGAUUUUUUUGUGAAAAAAGAGAUCGAAAACCUAACGCAGAUGGCAGAAGCCUCUACUAAACAAGUCAGUUGAAAAUAGUAUGGAGUUUGUGUUGGGAUUGAUGCUGCAAUUGCUGCAAGGAUGUCUCUUUCUUCCCUCCGAUUGUGUGUGUUUGUUUGCAAUUCUGCAACGGAUCUUUGGGCAGGAUGAUUCCGGAAAGGAUGUGUCUCGUUGCGCCCAACAAAAUAACAGAACUCGGUAGAAUAGAAGAGAAACAGAAAGAUUCCAGGCAUCCAGGCUGGUUUUGCGCUGUAUAGCUUCCUUUAAAAUCGUCCCCCCCUCCUUAAACUCCGGCUAGUCUUUCUUUUGUUGGCUAUGUUAAGGUCUUCCUUCCAGCGGCAGAGAAUCCGUAGUGCGCGGCGGCGUAAGCGACGGCCGGGGGAAGAAGAAGAAAAAAGAGCCUUACUCUUUUCUCUCUAUUUCUUCAUUUUCUAUUUCUUCAUUUUCUAUUUCUUCUUCUUUUUCCCGAAUAGGAAAUGAGGAGUUUUCCCCCGAUGAAAGCUGCACAACGGUCGGAGCGCUAGACGCGCGGCCCGAUCCGUCUUUGUCAGAGCUCCAGCUCACUCUCUCACGUUGACCUUUUCCGAAGGGGCCACAGGGCAACCAGCUCUCCAGCAGCUCUAGAGCACAGUGCAUACAGAAAAUAGAUACAGCACACAAGCAGCCAGACCUUCUUUUUCUUUCCCCUUCUCUUCUCUAUACACUUGGAUAUGUGUGUGUGGAUUCACUGUAGCUUUCCCCUCUUAUGCAGCAGCAGUCAACGAGUAAAAGUAUCAAAAGCUCGGCUGGAUGGAUGGAUGGAUGGAUGGGCCGACCUACACUUACUACGCUAAAGAAGGGGGGAAAUCGACCACGGAGAUCUCCCGACUGAGGAAACGAGGGACGACAGUUGCGGACGCAGACAGCCGGCCGAUUUUGACGUUUCUAUUCCACCCAAAAUGUCGAAAUGAAUACGACGGAUGGCCUUGUUUCGAUCCACACCUCCCAGACGUUACAGGUUUUUAUUAAGUUCUAUACACACACGACGAGAAUAAAGUUUGAUCGUCAUCAACUUACGGUCGAUUUCGUCUAAAAUGGUGGAGGGAAUCGCCGCAGGAGCCGAGUGAACACAACAACAACAACAGCCAGAAGAAGACGGGAAAACAAAAAAAGAAUACGGGGAAACCCAUUUUGGUUUUUAAAAGAGUCGAGCAUUGUAAUUAUCCAAACUCGAGGCAGCUAGGUAAAAAACACGUAUUAAAAAAUUUUCUUUUUCCUCCCCUCCGUCAAAUUCGACAAAAAGAAGAAAAGAGAGAGAAAAACCAAAAGGCUUCUGGCACUCUUUUUCAACACAGAGUGCUUGUAUGUAUGUAUACAAUAUAUACACAGAGAGAAAGAGAGAGAGAGAGAGAGACUCCAUGAAUACUUGUUUCGAGGCCACGACGAUAUAGGAUGACCGUUUGCAAUCAUGGGCCUUCACCGCCAUGAUGGAUCACCAACCAACCAAGCCAACCACCACCACACGGAGCACACAGCAAAGUUCCUUCUUCUUCUUCUUCUUUUUUCCCUGCUCUUUUGGUUCCUUCUUCAACACAAAAACGGCGAUGAAAUUUCUUCUUCUUUUCUGUUGUGCUGUGUAUUAUUUUCUCCCGCAUUUCUAAGAAUGUUAAACCUAUUGGGAAGAGAAAAUAUCCGAAAAUUCUUCCCUCAGAACCUGACAGCUACUCUCUCUCUCCUCCGCCAGGACCACAGCGGAAUCAGACUGACGUGCACAUAGGCGGAUACCUUGGAUGUAUGUCCGGAAGUUGGCGGAAUCCGGAAGCCGCACCCAAUUUUUGUCAACGUCGCAGACAACACACAAAGUCCCCCCUCUACGAAACAAAAAAUGUCAUCAACACUUUUUUUUUUCAAUUCCAUUUUCUUACAUACCGAUAAACAUUUAGAUCAGAUUUCAAAGAUUCAUUUUUAACACCUUUCAAAUUAAAUGAAAAGAAGAUUGUCAAGUUCCAUGGCUAAUAAUUAAUAAAUGUUGAAAAGUCAGUCAAA